rnacentral:rRNA from 1 species
UACGAAGGGGGCUAGCGUUGCUCGGAAUCACUGGGCGUAAAGCGCACGUAGGCGGCUUCUUAAGUCAGGGGUGAAAUCCUGGAGCUCAACUCCAGAACUGCCUUUGAUACUGAGGAGCUUGAGUCCGGGAGAGGUGAGUGGAACUGCGAGAGUAGAGGUGAAAUUCGUAGAUAUUCGCAAGAACACCAGUGGCGAAGGCGGCUCACUGGCCCGGUACUGACGCUGAGGUGCGAAAGCGUGGGGAGCAAACAGG